GUUUGAUCCUGGCUCAGGACAAACGCUGGCGGCGUGCCUAACACAUGCAAGUCGAACGGCAGCACGGGUGCUUGCACCUGGUGGCGAGUGGCGAACGGGUGAGUAAUGUAUCGGAACGUACCAUUCAGUGGGGGAUAACUAUCCGAAAGGAUAGCUAAUACCGCAUAUUCUGUGAGCAGGAAAGCAGGGGAUCGCAAGACCUUGCGCUGAUUGAGCGGCCGAUAUCAGAUUAGCUAGUUGGUGGGGUAAAAGCCUACCAAGGCGACGAUCUGUAGCGGGUCUGAGAGGAUGAUCCGCCACACUGGAACUGAGACACGGUCCAGACUCCUACGGGAGGCAGCAGUGGGGAAUUUUGGACAAUGGGCGAAAGCCUGAUCCAGCCAUGCCGCGUGAGUGAAGAAGGCCUUCGGGUUGUAAAGCUCUUUCGGCCGGGAAGAAAUCGCAUGGGCUAAUACCCUGUGUGGAUGACGGUACCGGAAUAAGAAGCACCGGCUAACUACGUGCCNGCAGCCGCGGUAAUACGUAGGGUGCGAGCGUUAAUCGGAAUUACUGGGGNGUAAAGCGUGCGCNGGCGGUUUUUUAAGACAGNCGUUGAAAUCCUCCGGGGUUUAACCUGGGGAACUGCGCUUGUGACUGUAAGGCUAGAUACGGCAGAGGGGGGUGGAAUUCCACGUGUAGCAGCGAAAUGCGUAGAGAUGUGGAGGAACACCGAUGGCGAAGGCAGCCCCCUGGGCCGAUACUGACGCUCAUGCACGAAAGCGUGGGGAGCAAACAGGAUUAGAUACCCUGGUAGUCCACGCCCUAAACGAUGUCAACUAGGUGUUGGGUGGGUAAAACCAUUUAGUACCGGAGCUAACGCGUGAAGUUGACCGCCUGGGGAGUACGGCCGCAAGGUUAAAACUCAAAUGAAUUGACGG
rnacentral:rRNA from 1 species